rnacentral:tRNA from 1 species
GGUGGCUCAGCGGUAGAGCACUUGCCUUGCAUGCAUGAGGCCCUAGGUUCAAUUCCUCAGCACCA